rnacentral:lncRNA from 1 species
UGUAAGGUACCGAACUUCUGUUGUAAGGUACCGAACUUCUAAAAUUAUGAAGUUACGGUGGGAUGUAGUAUACCGAAAUUUAAUAUAAAAUUAAGUGUAAAUAAAAAUAGUAUGAGAUACUAUUUUUAUUGGAUUUAAGGGUGUAAAGUAUAAGUUGGAAAUGACCUGUGCUAAAAUCGAAGCGAAAAUAAAAGAUUUAGAAUUUUUUUUGAAAAGCUGGGCUGAUAAAUUAGCAGAAAAUGCACAGUGUUAAAAAAUUAUGAAAACUGGAGGAUAUGUCAGAAUUAUUUUUAUGAGGCUAGAUUUAAAGUUUCAUACCAUUCUGACGCCCGAAAAGUGAAAAAUAAAAUCCGACUGCU